GACGUAGGGCGCGAGCGUUGUCCGGAUUUAUUGGGCGUAAAGAGCUCGUAGGCGGUUUGUCGCGUCGUCCGUGAAAACUCACAGCUUAACUGUGAGCUUGCGGUCGAUACGGGCAGGCUAGAGUUCGGUAGGGGAGACUGGAAUUCCUGGUGUAGCGGUGAAAUGCGCAGAUAUCAGGAGGAACACCGAUGGCGAAGGCAGAUCUCUGGGCCGUAACUGACGCUGAGGGGCGAAAGCAUGGGGAGCGAACAGG
rnacentral:rRNA from 1 species